GGCUUUUUUUAAAUAUGUGCAUGCUAGUUCUAGCUAUUUGGCUGUUCUAGUUUUUAUUUGUAUUUAUUCAUUUAUUUUAUUAUCAUUUUAUUUUUAUUGUUUUUAAUACACUGUAGCACUUUGAGGUUGUUUACUCAAUGUAAAGUCUUUGUUUGUUUACUUACUACUAAAAGACAAGUUGUCUAGUA